AAUCCUGACACAGGGAGGUAGUGACAAGAAAUAACAAUACGGGGCUUGAAGUCUUGUAAUUGGAAUGAUGGGAAUUUAAACCCCUUCCAGAGUAUCAAUUGGAGGGCAAGUCUGGUGCCAGCAGCCGCGGUAAUUCCAGCUCCAAUAGCGUAUAUUAAACUUGUUGCAGUUAAAAAGCUCGUAGUUGAAUUUCUGCUGCAUCGUGGUUCUUCGCUAUGUCGAGUGAUCUUCGUUGUGGCUUAGUUGGGGCAUGUUUUCAUGACUCG
rnacentral:rRNA from 1 species